rnacentral:rRNA from 1 species
CGAAUUGUAGUUGAUAGAAACGUUUUCGGGGGUAGGCUGGGCACAAGUUGCCUGGAAAGGCACAUCAUAGAGGGUGAGAAUCCCGUCUGUGGUCCAGCUCUGCUCCUAUGUGAUACGUUUUCUAAGAGUCGGGUUGUUUGGGAUUGCAGCCCUAAAUGGGUGGUAAAUACCAUCUAAAGCUAAAUACUAGCGAGAGACCGAUAGCGAACAAGUACCGUGAGGGAAAGAUGAAAAGAACUUUGAAAAGAGAGUUAAACAGUACGUGAAAUUGUCAGAAGGGAACGGCUUGAAACCAGUCUUGCGUCUGGAAUUCAGCCUCUCUAACGAGGGGUGCAAUUCGCUAGAUGCAGGUCAGCGUCAGUUUGAGGAGGGGGAAAAAGACUAGAGAAGGUAGCCUUCGGGUGUUAUAGCUCUGGUUUCUACCCCUCUUUGGACUGAGGGCCGCGGCGUGAUACGGGGUUGAUGGGUUCCGGUGACCUACUGGUAAACUGCAUGCAGAUUGCUGGCAAGGCUCGCUUGAUUCCCUUUAGCUCCACACGUCUAGGAUGCUGACGAAAUGGUCUCAAACCACCCGUCUUGAAACACGGACCAAGGAGUCUAACGUAUAUGCGAGUGUAUGGGUG